UAGGGAAUCUUCAGCAAUGGGCGAAAGCCUGACGGAGCAACGCCGCGUGAGUGAUGAAGGUUUUCGGAUCGUAAAACCCUGUUAUUAGGGAAGAACAAAUGUGUAAGUAACUAUGCACGUCUUGACGGUACCUAAUCAGAAAGCCACGGCUAACUACGUGCCAGCAGCCGCGGUAAUACGUAGGUGCCGAGCGUUGUCCGGAUUUAUUGGGCGUAAAGCGAGCGCAGGCGGUUAGAAAAGUCUGAAGUGAAAGGCAGUGGCUCAAGCAUUGUAGGCUUUGGAAACUGUUUAACUUGAGUGCAGGAGGGGAGAGUGGAAUUCAAUGUGUAGCGGUGAAAUGCGUAGAUAUAUGGAGGAACCCCGGUGGAAAAAGCGGCGCUCUGGUCUGUAACUGACGCUGGGGCUAAAAAGCGUGGGGAGCGAACAGG
rnacentral:rRNA from 1 species